GACGAACGCUGGCGGCGUGCUUAACACAUGCAAGUCGAACGGAAAGGCCCCUUUGGGGGUACUCGAGCGGCGAACGGGUGAGUAACACGUGAGUAACCUGCCCUUGACUUCGGGAUAACUUCAGGAAACUGGGGCUAAUACCGGAUAGGAAUCCUUGCUGCAUGGUGGGGGUUGGAAAGCUUCGGCGGUUUUGGAUGGACUCGCUGCUUAUCAGCUUGCUGGUGGGGUAGUGGCUUACCAAGGCUUUGACGGGUAGCCGGCCUGAGGGGGCGACCGGCCACAUUGGGACUGAGGGACGGCCCAGACUGCUACGGGAGGCAGCAGUGGGGAAUAUUGCACAAUGGGCGGAAGCCUGAUGCAGCAACGCCGCGUGCGGGAUGACGGCCUUCGGGUUGUAAACCGCUUUCAGCAGGGGCGAAGCUUGUGGUGACGGUACCUGCAGAAGAAGCACCGGCUAACUACGUG
rnacentral:rRNA from 1 species